AAAACGUUCCUCUGCUGUAAAGGACUGUUUGUAUUGCAUGCCGGCCUAAUGUAAAUAUAUUGCAUGGUACUCUCUCCCUGCUGCUCUGGAGUUGCCAUUAUGACAGGAAAAAAAUUCCACACUUUCACAAAGGAGAAAGGAGUGAAAGAGUAAAAGUGACCCAAGAGAACUAAGGAGGAAAUCCUGGGGAGUGUGGAGCCUAAGGGAGGUGCAGGGUAGACAAGACAGAGGCUGGCCCUGGUUUUUACAUGUGCAGAAGUUGAACUGCGUGAGGGCCCACAUGAUCACCACAUCGAGGGUACCCGCUGAUAAAUCGGUCCGAAUAGCCUUUAGCCUCAAUGAUUCCACGGGUAAGCUUGAA